rnacentral:rRNA from 1 species
AGCAGCCGCGGUAAUUCCAGCUCCAAUAGCGUAUAUUAAAGUUGUUGCAGUUAAAAAGCUCGUAGUUGAAUUUCGGGGUCAGUAGGUUGGUCAUGCCACUGGUAUGUACUGGCCUCACUGAUUCCUCCUUCCUGAUGAACUGUAAUGCCAUUAAUUUGGUGUUGCAGGGAAUCUGGACUGUUACUUUGAAAAAAUUAGAGUGUUUAAAGCAGGCUAACGCCUGAAUACAUUAGCAUGGAAUAAUGAAAUAGGACGUUCGAUCCUAUUUUGUUGGUUUCUAGGAUUGACGUAAUGAUUAAUAGGGAUAGUUGGGGGCAUUAGUAUUCAAUUGUCAGAGGUGAAAUUCUUGGAUUUAUUGAAGACUAACUACUGCGAAAGCAUUUGCCAAGGAUGUUUUCAUUAAUCAAGAACGAAAGUUAGGGGAUCGAAGACGAUCAGAUACCGUCGUAG